ACUGACUACAAGCAGGAAGUCUUGCGCCGUAGCAGAGAAAUCACUUUUUUAACCCACAAAGAAGGAGAAGACAAGGUUGAUUAGGUGGCAGAUAUAUAUUUUCAAGAAGGAUAUUUGAAGAGAAAGGACAUCUUGUGAGAGGAAGUGGGCCAACCCCGGGAGCUAGCUCGGCUGUCCCGGCCAUGAAAUAGGGAAGAGCCCACCACUUCCACGAGAAUCAAGCGGUACCUGUCAGGCUUAUACGGCGUUAAACAGGUGCUACAAAUGUUUUUCUCCAGCAAUGGUCAUGUGGUGACACAAAGAUGGUAUUUGGAGAGGUCAGCAUUGAAGUGGGACGUCACUGAAGGUCCAGCUUAUGCUGAUUUUGGGUGUCCGAUCCAAAAGUUUGAAGAACUGAGCAGCGGCGGUCUUGGCUUUGGCGUAAUCUGGAGUGAAAGAUGAAGCUCUUCCCAGCGCCGUCCCACUGAUGACCACAGCUGAUAUCACCCUGGAACAGAGCAGCAGUGUGUCAGGAGUCACAUCUAGCUCACACACACACACACACACACACAUACACACACACACACACACACACACACGGAUUUGAAAUGACAAAAGUAUGGAACCUGAAAACGAUCACGUAUGGCAGCCCCUCAGAGCUAACCAGGUAGCCUCCAUAUCGGAAAGAAGCGGCGUAGGCCAUGAAGAUGACGCACUGGGACAAACCAAAAAAGAGGCCGUAGAUGUUGGCUUUCUUCUUGGCAGAUUGAUAAGGAGACUCAAGUUUGUGCUCGUAAGAAUCCACAAAGGAGCUCUCUUUGGCCAAGCCGGCAAUGGUUCUGAUGUUGGCGAGAGCUUCACCGGACACCUGCAAAACACGCCAUCUCAGAAAAAUGAGCUGGACCUUGACACGGCCUGGUGGACACUCACCUGGCCUGGUGGACACUCACCUGGCCUGCAGCCUCCAUGGCUUUCUUGUCUUCACUUGCGAAACCUGUCAACAUUUUGGCUUGGAAGAGUCCAGACAGCCCGAUGAGAGGCAAGAAGCACAUAAUGACCAAAGUCAGCUUCCAACUGAAGUAGAGGGCGAUGAUAAAAGAGGCUCCGAUGUUGGUCAGGGAGUUGACGAUCAUGCCGAUCUGAGAUCCUGUGGCCUGUCAAAUACAAAAUACUGCACCCUGACAUUUAUCUGCAUCUUUCCAAACAUCCAUCCAUACAUCCAUUUUCUACCGCUUGUCCCUUUCGGUGUCACGGGGGUGCUGGAGCCUAUCUCAGUUGCAUUUGGGCGGAAGGUGGAGUACGCCCUGGACAAGUCGCCACAGACAACAUUCACACACUAGGGACCAUUUAGUGUUGCCAAUCAACCUAUCCCCAGGUGCAUGUCUUUGGAGGUGGGAGGGGCCUAUCCCCAGGUGCAUGUCUUUGGAGGUGGGAGGAAGCCGGAGUAGAACCCACGCAGUCACAGAGAGAACAUGCAAACUCCACACAGAAAGACCCCAAGCCCGGGAAAUUGAACCCAGGAACUUCUAAUAGUGAAGCGCAAGCACUAACCCCUGUGACACCGUGCUGGCGGUUUCCAAACAUCUUAAAGGUUAAACUUUUCAAUAGUGGUCCUACAAAGUUUAAUAAAAAAAAAAUGUUCUGCUUUGUUUGCAGUAUCGAGUACUAUUUUUACUAUUGUAUCAAUCAACCAAUCAAAGAUUACUUAUAUAGAUCACCCUUAAUCACAAGUCUCAAAGGGCUGCACAAUUGAUUGAUUGAUUGAAACUUGUAUUAGUAGAUUGCACAGUACAGUACAUAUUAGAUUGUACAGUACAGUACAUAUU